rnacentral:rRNA from 1 species
UACGAAGGGGACUAGCGUUGUUCGGAAUUACUGGGCGUAAAGCGCACGUAGGCGGAUUUGUUAGUCAGGGGUGAAAUCCCGGGGCUCAACCCCGGGUCGGCCGUGCCGACUGUUAGACUAGAGUGCUGUAGGGGCAGGCGGAAUUCCGGGUGUAGCGGUGGAAUGCGUAGAGAUCCGGAGGAAGACCGGUGGCGAAGGCGGCCUGCUGGGCAGAUACUGACACUGAGGCGCGACAGCGUGGGGAGCAAACAGG